GAUGAACGCUGGCGGCGUGCCUAAUACAUGCAAGUCGAGCGAACAGACGAGGAGCUUGCUCCUCUAACGUUAGCGGCGGACGGGUGAGUAACACGUGGAUAACCUACCUAUAAGACUGGGAUAACUUCGGGAAACCGGAGCUAAUACCGGAUAAUAUAUUGAACCGCAUGGUUCAAUAGUGAAAGACGGUUUUGCUGUCACUUAUAGAUGGAUCCGCGCCGCAUUAGCUAGUUGGUAAGGUAACAGCUUACCAAGGCAACGAUGCGUAGCCGACCUGAGAGGGUGAUCGGCCACACUGGAACUGAGACACGGUCCAGACUCCUACGGGAGGCAGCAGUGGGGAAUCUUCCGCAAUGGGCGAAAGCCUGACGGAGCAACGCCGCGUGAGUGAUGAAGGUCUUCGGAUCGUAAAACUCUGUUAUUAGGGAAGAACAAAUGUGUAAGUAACUAUGCACGUCUUGACGGUACCUAAUCAGAAAGCCACGGCUAACUACGUG
rnacentral:rRNA from 1 species